CACAACUUUGAAAAAUUUGAUCAUCAAAAGUUUCAAACUAUUUUCACUCUGAAACAGAAAUGGCUUGUGGCUGCAAAUGUGGUGAUAGUUGCUCAUGUGGAGACGGCUGCAACUGCCAAUCUGGGACCAUCACAGAGGCAAUUUCCCUGAUGAUGAGUGGGUGCAGCUGUGGGAGUAGCUGCUCUUGCGACUCAUGCGAUUGCGAGUGAGCAAUUAGAAAGAAGGGAAGAAGGCUCACACAACAAAGCUUUUGAAUAAAGUUGAUGAAUUCUGUUUUUUCUUUUUCCCUCUUCUUUGUGUUGUGAAAAGACUGUCAUUGAAACCGUGAGUCCAUAUGGAAUGGGGUUUUUCAUGGCUUCUUGUGUGAGUGAACUAUGUUCUGCUUUGUUGUGGGUUGGGUUCGUUGUUAUAUUCAUCAAAGCUUUUA